rnacentral:rRNA from 1 species
UACGGAGGGUGCGAGCGUUGUCCGGAAUCGAUUGGGCGUAAAGGGCGCGUAGGUGGCCCGGUCAGUUCGUGGUGAAAGCGCGGGGCUCAACCCUGCGUCGGCCAUGAAUACUGCCCGCGGGCUGGAGCACUGGUAGAGGCAGGCGGGAAUUCCGGGUGUAGCGGUGGAAUGCGCAGAUAUCAGGAGGAACACCCGGUGGCGAAAGCGGCGCUCUGGACCGAGACUGACGCUGAGGCGCGAAGGCGUGGGGAGCAAACAGG